rnacentral:tmRNA from 1 species
GGGGCCGAUAUGGAUUCGACGCCGGUUACAAAGCUCUUGAGUGCAUGCCGUGAUGACAGCGAAUCACGUAAAUCCAAAGCUGUUAACUUAUAGUUGCCAACGACGACAACUACGCUCUAGCGGCUUAAACCCCGUUAGCGGUCAUAAGUGGAUGCUUGUAAACACGAAGUGACCGUCAUAUAGAACAAGCUAGCGAGGCGGUAUGUCUGAGGCCAAGUCGCGAAACCUUUGAACUCGGAAUCGCCAAUUACGUCCUGCCCGUCGGGCUGUUUGCGGUUAAAUCAAUUGACGGAUUCUAAGCAUGUAGAGCCCUGAGUGGCGGACUGACGGACGGGGGUUCAAAUCCCCCCGGCUCCACCA